CCUACGGGGGGCUGCAGUGGGGAAUAUUGGACAAUGGGGGCAACCCUGAUCCAGCCAUGCCGCGUGUGUGAAGAAGGCCCUCGGGUUGUAAAGCACUUUCAGUGAGGAAGAACGCCUGGUGGUUAAUACCCAUCAGGAAAGACAUCACUCACAGAAGAAGCACCGGCUAACUCCGUGCCAGCAGCCGCGGUAAUACGGAGGGUGCGAGCGUUAAUCGGAAUUACUGGGCAUAAAGCGCGCGUAGGUGGCUUGAUAAGCCGGUUGUGAAAGCCCCGGGCUCAACCUGGGAACGGCAUCCGGAACUGUCAAGCUAGAGUGCAGGAGAGGAAGGUAGAAUUCCCGGUGUAGCGGUGAAAUGCGUAGAGAUCGGGAGGAAUACCAGUGGCGAAGGCGGCCUUCUGGACUGACACUGACACUGAGGUGCGAAAGCGUGGGUAGCAAACAGGAUUAGAUACCCUAGUAGUC
rnacentral:rRNA from 1 species